CUGCAUUGGGAAAGGAUGUGGGCCCGUAAGCCCUACAACUGUGAGCGCUGCGGGAGUGAUUUUGUCAGCUGCACGGCUCUGAAGCAUCACUUUCAGCAGAAGCAUCUUGGAAAAGUUCACUGUGAAAAAUGUGGCCAAGAAGUCCUGAGGGAGAAGCUCCAAGAUCACAGUAAGCCCAAAUGUCCACAGGAUUUUCACCUCAUAAUAUGUUGGAGUGUAAAGGUCCCCAAGAGCUACAGAGAUUUGCAGACAAAAAAAUCCACCCUGCCUCGGGCUCCCAGCAUGCUGCUUGUGUGGCUGAAGUCGGCGCCCUGCUCCAGCUGAUCCAGGGUUGCUUUCCGGUGCCGGCCUCCCGAGUCAUCCAGGGUGGCUCCUAUGUAAAGGGGACUGACACCCAAGGACGCUCUGAGAUUGACAUCGUGUUGCUCAGUGAUUUGUUUGCCAAUGUGAACCCUUGCAAGAAACAACUGAGAGAAGGGUUGGAGGCUCUGAGAGAAAACUUAAAGCGAACUUCACAUGGGAACAGGUCUGAAUGUGUUUCUGCAAAUUCUUUUAUUACAAAGGUGGAGAAGACUGCUAAAGGAAACUUAGCUUGGCACAGAAGACCAUUAUUGAGUAACAAUUACUUGUGCAUGCUAACAUUAAAUUCUUGGAAGAAAACUUGGAAAGAUUGCCCCAGAGGCUUUUUUUUUUUUUAAAGACUUCUAGCUAAACUUUCAAUGAAAUUUCAUGAAUUUAAGAUCCUAUGAUUUAAGGACUAAUUAUGUCUUCUCCAAAGCACCUUUAUUUAAUUUCCAUCCCUUAGCUGAAACCUGACUCUGGAAUGCAAACAGGAAGGGCUGAGAAUGGUGCCUCCAAGAACGAAGAAUCUUUUGAGACACACUUGUCUGAUAAACAUUCCCUUCAGCGAUGUCCUGGGGUCUUUUGCUGAAGUGGUUCUACUGACAUUAUACAUAAUGUCUUUUUGCCUCCAAUGUUG